GCCUUUAGUUUUUAAUCAUUAUUAUUAUAUAAACAUGUUAUUAAGAUGCAUAAUACUUACUGUCACCUCAAAAUUUACAUUAUCUUGUGAAAGUUCAAACAACAAAGCAUUUAGUCCCAAAGUAGCUUUACUUAAAAGUAAAAAUCCCGAAAGUAGCUUUAUUUCCAAAACAAAAGAAGUCCUGAGUUUGCUUAAUGGAUCCCCGAACAUGUAAAUUUGAACCAAGAUGAGCAUUAGGAAAAUUGGAGGUAACCCCAGAAGUCAUCGUAACCUCUUCACUCACCCUCUUUGAUUUUUGUUUUAUAACUGUCUUUUGUCAUUUGCUGAUUCACCUUUGUGGUUAAAGAAUUCCUUGAAGCGCCUUAUGGCCAUAUUUAGGGCCAGGGGUGAGCAACAGAUUCUCUUCUAGAAUUUGUAGUCUGAUAAAUGCUACAAAUUUACAACUGGACGACCUCCCCUUUAGAAAUACCCUUAAACAUGGUGUUCAACUCGAUUACGUGUCAUGCAACUUCAGUGCAAUGGUGAAUAUGAAUCCUUCUUGCAACUUACAGUAUGCCAUUGUAGGUUCUGAUCUUACUUGUUUCGAAAAUGGUACUAACUUUGAAAGUGUUUACUUUGUUUUAAAUUGAACAUAUAUUCAUGGCAUGGUUGCCAAAGUUCCCCUUGCAUUAAAAUCUGAAUUGCAAUGUUCCAUAAAAAUACCCCAUAAGUACAAAGGAUGAGAUUUUCAUCCUGAUGAUGACCACCUCGAGGAUUAUGUUGGGGCAUUAGAAGCAUUAGGCAACCGCGUUGAUGCUGAUGAUGAGGCUCGUCAGAGUGCUCCAGUACCAAGGCUUGUCCCUCCUACUACAUCUUUAGGUCAUGACACAAGUUUGGCAUGCACCAUUCCCUCGGAGUCCUAGCAACCCAGAAUCCUACCACUCAAGGUUCAUCUUCUUCAAAUGUAGUCUCCUUUGCUUCCAUUGUUUCUUAAAGGCUGGCUCUACGAAGGGGCAAGAGGACAAGAUGAACUACUCUCUCUCUCUCUCACAGAUGUAAAAGAAGCUUUUUAAAGCUUGAAAUGAAAAGAUAUAUUCUCAUCUCACAACUAAGAGGAUUCGUCAUUGUGAUUUAAGAAUCUAAAACAAUAUGACAUCAUAAAUAUAAGAUUUUAAAUGAAAUAUAUAUUCUCACAACUAAUAGGGAUGGAUUACACAAUAGGACUUAAUAAAACAGUGGGUCACUCUAGACUAUGCUUAGUUCAAAUUAAGAAUAAAAAAUAAUGGAACUUUGUGCUAUGUGAAAAGGGAUUGGAUUUUACCAUCAUGGAACUUAUGAUUCGUAAAUAAUGGGAACUUGGGACAAUGGCAGUUUCUAACCUGGUAUUACCGUUAAUGAAAGUAGAUCCCGCAAACAUGGAACCCAAGAUUUUAAUGUACCAAAACCUUGGAUCAUUGUUGAUGGGAGCGGGGAUCUAUUUCGAAAUGGAACUGGAUUCCAUUGAUGGAUGGAACGUGGUCCCCUUUUUUUGGGAGUGAGAUCCCAAAAUCGAAAAACCGGCGUCCCUACAAGAUCCGUUGUAGGAACCGUGGGAUCGAGGUUCCAGAGCGGGAUCGUCACCCUUCCCACAAGGUUCCCUUAACUAUGCUUUAGGACUUGAAACAGUCAAAUCUUCUUGUCAUUGAACUUGUUGUAUUUUCCCACAGGAUUCCUAUCUUUGCAUAGAAAAUUAAUCACCUAAUCGCCUACCUGAAACCCUUUUAAUCGCCUAUGUUUAUCUAUAGCUUCCUUAUACUUGGUAGUGGCAAUCUCCAAAUUAGCUCAAACCUAGUUAUGGACAUCCUUCAUGUGCUUGAUCAUAUUGUUGGCAUCUAAGUGUCCUUCCCCAUUAGCUGGUAGAGGAGUCAAAUCCACCAUAUGGGUAGGAUUCCGCCCAUAUACGACAUCAAAUGGAUUAUUUUCAGAUGACCUACGGCAGGAACUGUUGUAAGAGAAGUCGGCUUGUGGCAGAGCCACAUCUCAUUGUCUUUUCUUGUCACUGUCUAUGCUCCGAAGUAGGCUACCAAGGGUUCGAUUGACCACCUCAGCUUGACCAUCAGUAUGUAGAUGAUAAGCACUGCUAAACUGUAGCUUUGUACUCAUCUUGCGUCAUAAAGUUCCCUAUAAGUGGCUUAGAAAUUUGGUAUCUCGAUUUGAUGUAAUCAUUUCGGGAAUCCUAUGAAGUCUUACCACCUCUCGAAAGUAUAAGUUGGCCACGAGUUGCAUCUAGAGUCUUCUUGCAAGCGAUGAAGUGCGCCAACUUUGAAAACCUAUCAACCAGAAUAAAUAUAGAGUUCAUACCUCGUUGAGUCUACGGAAGACCCAUCACGAAAUCCAUGCUAACGUCUUCCCAUGGUGCAUUGGGAAUGGGAAGUGGAGAAUAUAAACCUGAGUUCUAACGCUUCCUUUUUACAACUUGACACACUUUGCACCUCUCCACAUGCUUAGAUACAUCUUGCUUAAGUUUGGACCAAUAGUACUUAGACUCCACCAAUGCAAUGGUUUUGUCUCGCCCAAAGUGUCUCCCAUGGCCCCCACCAUGUAACUCUGAAAUAAGGACCUUGCCAAGAGAACCGACAGGAAUGCAUAAUUGAUUCCCUGUGAAGAGAAACCCAUCUUGUACCAGUAGUCUCCUGCAACUCCACCUUAGCACUCACCGCAAUCUGUCCACAAUUGUCAUCAUCAGCAUACAAGUCACGCAGACACUCAAUCCCUGUCACCAUAGCAGCCAUAAUGGUCAAAAGUGACGCUCUCGACUCUAGGCAUCUGCAACUUUAUUCUGACUCCCAGGCUGGUGACGAAUCACGAAGGUAAACUCCUGAUAAUAUGCUACUCACCUAGCAUGUUAGUUGUUCAGCUUAUGAUGCCCAUUAAUAUACUCCAGUGCCUCAUGAUCUCAAAAUAAAAGAAACUCCCACUGAAUAAGAUAAUGACACCAGUGUUUUAAAGCCUGAAUGAUUGCAUGAAAUUCCACGUCAUAGGUAAUAUACCGUCAGCAUGUAUCAUUCAGCUUCUCUCUGAAAUAUGCGAUUGGUCUGCCCUCCUGACUCAAAACAGCCCCAUUACCAACAUGCAAUGCAUCACACUCUAGCUGAAACAUCUUAUUAAAGUCUGGCAAUGCCAGCACGGGUGCUUCAGUCAUGGUUUGCUUAAUCCUUUCAAUGCUCUUUUCUGCUCUGUAGUCCAUCUGAAAGAGCCCUUCUUCAAACAGUCAGUAAGUGGUGCUAUGAUGGUGCUGAAUCCUCUAAUGAACAUUGAUAAAAAAUGGCCAGCCCAUGGAAACUACGUACGUCAUGUCCUGAUGUCGGGUUUGGCCAUUCUCUUGUCGCUGCCACCUUUCUCUCAUCCACCUUGAUUCCCUUAGUGGAAACCACGACACCCAAGAAAAUUAAACUGCUGAUCAUGAAUUCACACUUGUUCUAAUUUGCAUACAACUGCUCAUCUUGUAACAACUCCAACACAAGUCUUAGAUGGUCCAUAUGCCUCCUUUCACUACUGCUGUAUUUGAGGAUAUCAUCAAAGUAUACCACCACAAACUUUUCUAUAUAUGGCAUAAAGACUUGGUUCAUGUGCCUCAUAAUGGUGCUAGGUGCGUUUGAUAACCUAAAUGGCAUAACCAACCACUCAUACAAUCUCUCUUGUGUCUUAAAUGUUGUCUUCCAUUCAUCACCCGACCUGUUUCUGAUUUGAUGGAAACUACUUCUCAAGUCUAUUUUAGAGAAAAUCGUGGCCCCCACCAACAUGUCUGUCUUCCAUUCAUCACCCGACCUGUUUCUGAUUUGAUGGAAACCACUUCUCAAGUCUAUUUUAGAGAAAAUCGUGGCCCCCACCAACAUGUCUAACCUAUCAUCUAGACGCAGUAUUGGAAAGCGGUAUUUUAUGGUGAUCUUCAUACAAUCUCCAUCGUGUCGUAAAUGUAGUCUUCCGUUCAUCACCCGGCCUGAUUCUGGUUUGAUGGAAACAACUUCUCGAGUGUAUUUUAGAGAAAAUCGUGUCCCCCACCAACAUGUCUUAACAUAUCAUCCAGGUGCAGUAUCGAAAAGUGGUAUUUUAUGGUGAUUUUAUUAAUUGCCCUAUUGUCCACACAUGCACCAAGAACCGUUUUUCUUGGGUUUCAACAAUGUUGGCAUUGCGCAUGGGCUCAUACUCUCCCUGAUAAACCCCUUUUGUAGCAACUCUGUAACUUGCCUCUUUAACUCCUCAUGCUCCUUAGGAUUCAUUCUAUAGGUUGCUUUAUUUGGGAGGCUAGAACCAGGUAUGAGGUCAAUGCGAUGUUGGAUGUCUCACAUGGGAGGUAAUCUCUUUGGAAGAUCAUCCGAUAUGGCAUCAUUGAACUCCCUCAUCAAUGGCUCUAGCUUAGGAGAAAUGGCACUGAUGGGCUUUUCUUCACUAGCACCACAGCAAACAACACACCCAACUCACCCAAAUCCCUCAUGAACUCCGUCAAAGAUAAGAGAUUAGUGUUUUUGAAGCACUUUCCAUCUUAGAGGGUCCUAGAAUCACUUUAACUGAUCUUUGACAAAGGAAUAAGUGUUUCUGAAACCAUUACGAGUGGUACGCCUGUCAUAGCCAUGGUCUCCCCAACAACAAAUGGCAGGUGUCCAUAGGCACUACAUCUCCCCAUAUUUCAUCUUUGUAUGUUUCUCCAAUAGAAAAAGAAACAAGCCAUCUGUUAGAAACAGUUACCUCAGUGCCCUUCUUGAACUAUGCACAAUUUUAUAAGGAUUAUGAUGGUUUUCCGUCUUGAGCUUAAGCUUGUCAACCAUCUCUUGAGAAACUAUGUUUUUGCAACUCCCUCGAUUAGAUUAUUACACCUUUCCAUAUGCAGUACAACGUGUAUGAAAUAUGUUCGUGCACAGCCAAUCAUUUUUCUCCACAACCCGAGGCGUAAUCAUACUGCACCGGAUCACCAUGCCUCCCCAUGAUCGCUAUAAGUCGUUUUUGCGUCCUCUUCAACAAUGACUCAUUGUAUACGAGAUCACCUUCAAAAGAAUGCUUCUUGUCCCCAUCAUAAAACUCCUCAGAAAGGUUAACAAACUUGCGAUUUGGGCACUGUGAUGAGACAUACCCAAUCCCCGAACACUCGUAGCACUUGAUGUAGCUACCAAAACUCCUUUUGGAUGUUCCGACUCCUAAAGCAAAUCCCUUUUUGGUCCAGGACAUCUUGUUGGUUGGCUGUUCUGGCUGUGCAAGAUGUCAAACGGACCAGCACCAAUCACUGCCUUUUCUUCCAAAAUAUCACCACGGGCUGCUGCCCUAUUUCCCUGAUCACUUGCACUUGCAUCCCAUUUGUUCGAGGGUCAUAUUUUUUGAGUUUCAACCCUCUUCGCAAGGUUAUAGACCUCAUCAAAGGUCCAAUACCGCUGCAAAACUACCACAUCUUGAAUUACUUGGUGCAGUCCAUUCACGUACCUGGCUAUGGACUGCUCCUCCUGGUUGAUCAUAUCACUACGACAGUCAAAAGAUGAAACCCAUAUGUGUAUUCAUCCACGUACCUAUUUCCGGGCACAACACAUACAUCUUUUGAUACAAAGACUGCAAAUAAUUUUCAGAUAGGUACUUCUCCUUUAAUUUCUUUUUCAUAUUCUCCCAAGUGUUAAAUUUGGGCUUUCCCAUUCUCUCUCGCCUUGCUCUCAGCUGGUCCCACCAUACCAAAGCACCUUUCUUCAAUUUAAUCGCAAUAAUCUUUAACUUUUUUAUUCUCUGACACAUCCUCGUAAUCAAAUACCCUCUCUACUGUAUUUAACGAGUCUAUAAAGUCACCAGGCUGCGACUUUCCUUCAAAAUCAGGAAUAUCUACGUUUAGACUUGUGGAAUUUGAGUGUCACUCAUACCUCCAAUCGUAUACCUCUUCACUCAAGUCAUCUCACGGAGCACGAUAGUGAAAAGGGUUGUACGCAAUAUCAUCUUGGACAGACAAAACUUCAUCUCGCCCACAAUAGAUGCCUGCAAGCUGCCUUGCAAAUUCGUGAACUUGUUGGCUCAAAUACUCUUAUCUCCUGAUUCUGCUCAGCACGAGAUGGAUCCAUAUGAAUACCCUUGCCUCGACCUGUUCUUACUACCAUAGGUUCACUGAAUUCACAAACCAUAGGCAGAGAACCAACAAAACCUAGCUGAAACUAGCAGUUCUAUGCUGAUAUAGUGAAACUUGGUCUAAAAUCAAAAAACCCUAGACUUGUUGUUCAUCCCUUUGUUCAUCCCUAGCUUUGCUGUUGAAGAAAACUGAGGCUCAAAUACCAAUUUGAUGCAGGAAAAUGAAGAGAAGAGGCAAAAAGACAGUUCAAUAACCAUCAAAACAUGCUAGAUGUGAGUGGAUCUUGCUUUCCUUGCACAAAAGAGUGACCCUAAAACCCUAGAUUUAUGUAGCAUUUAGAUGCUGAGUAUGCUGCAAUAGUUUUGCAAUAGUUUCACAAUAAAGCAACUAUCUAGUUUGCUGAAAGAAGACAAUUAAUAUAGUGGAGCAUUGUUUGUCUCCCACAUAAAUUAUCAUCAUCAGAGCCUUUUCCCAACUAAUUGUGGUCGGCUACACGAAUCCUAAUUAUUCUGGAUUCAUAGAAAGUUUUGGCAAAUUUUUAUAUUGGCUACCUACCUAACACAACCCACUCUUUUACACGUGUUUGGGAUAGGUUAAGGGAAAGUUUAAGGUCCACAUAAAUAUUGAACUUAAUAAUGGCUAAUAUCGAACUAAAUAAUGGCAACAAUGGUGGGGGCUAACGUGCUCUCGAUGGUAUUGUGUGAGUCCAUUUCUUGUUGGUAAAAAGAAAUUCUUUGGUAUUGUAUUUGGUUUCAUUGAUGUUGGUUUUCUUUUUCGUAGUAAAGCGGAUUUCCCCCGUGAUUUUCUUCGUUAUUUCAUGAAAUCAGCAGUUUGCUUACAGAAGAUGUAAUUUUUAGUUGAGUCUCCGGUUGGAUUGAUUUCAAGCCAUUUCCAUUGUCUUUUCAAGGAGCUAUAACUACUAUUCCUAUUGAUUAUUAUUUUAUUUUAUUUUUGUUCUUAUUCUGGUGUUUUCUACUUCAGGUAUUGACCAAAAUGGCUGGUUAUCAAAUUCUUUUUGUUCUAGGUUUCCUAUUUGUAAUUAAAUUCUGUUUUAUUGUUUUUUGCCUUGUAGAAUUUGAAGUCUUCAUUAAUAUUGCAUUGCUUGUACUCCAGUUAAGAGAGGAUUAGGAGUCAAGAGCUCUAGUAAAUACAUGUAAAGUCCUAUGGCCAUAUUCAUCUAUGGGUGUAAUAAAAUUCGCUUUUGCAAGCUUUCUGUGGUAUUGAUUCCUUCACUGAGGUGCUGAUCCUCAAGACUCAUUCGUUGCGCCAAUUCCACAAGAAACCUAAUCUUUGUAAGAUGCCACUUCCAUACUAUUUUAGGUUAUCCUUCUUGUUUUGGUAUAGUGUUGAUGCUAUACAAGUAUAGGCCCUCUCUCUCUUUUCUUCUUUAUCUUUUAUUUACAUCUCCCGUUCGCCUUUAUUGUAAGCCAUUCUCCAACCCUUGAUCAACCACACCGUACCAUGGAGUCACCCACCCGCAAACCACCUUUUCUCCUUCAAUGCAUAAAUCUAGCCACACAGUCUUACAAGUUUAACUGUAGUUGCAUUAAUCAUACUGAUCAAAAAUGGAAACUUGGACCCAUCAGCCUGGUGCACCAAACCAUGGAUUGCAUUGUUAUGAAGAGACGGGGUUCCUAGUUCUGAAUAUGUUCAAACAUGUUACUGAAUUAAUCCCUUUUUUUGGAGAGCUAAAGUAUAUAUCUUAAUGGAUACGACCAUUAGAAAUCUGUGGUCAUAAGGGUCAUUGUUGUCAAAUCGCUAUGUUGCAAGGUGGUGAACAGAGCGAGAUUCCCUACCAAAGUCCUGUCAUAUCCUGAUGGGUUACUCUCUCUCCCUUGUGUUGAACCCUUCAAUUGGAUGGUGAACCCUCAGAAUCACAGAUUUCCCUUAAUUAACUUAUUGUCAACCAGACUAGUUACACUCCACAUAUCUGGUUCUGCCUUAGACUCUUAAUUCAGCCUUAAGGACCACCAUCUACAACCAUUCAAAGAAGACUCCCAAGGAGACGUUAUGGUGCCAUAUAAGGUAUGUUGUUCCACUUGAAAAGUUUGGCAUACUGCUUAUGAGCUAAUUGCCGUUCCUUUCGAUUAGAGUCAACAUAUAAAGAGCUUACAUUCAUGACAACACCAACUAGUGGGUGUUCGGGGAUCUGAUUACUAGGUUAUAGUUUUACUUAUAAUGGUUUUUCUGAUUGGAAUGGUGUGCCAACUCAGGGAAGACUCACAUAAGAACAACUUUGAAUUUUGUUUGUUGAAUACUGCAGUAUGUGCAAGCGACUAUACAGGAAUAAUGCAUGAAAAUGGGGAAGAAUUUGAAGUUGCAGCCUUGCAGGCAUUACAGUUGCUAAUUGUGGAAAUCAGCUUGACUACUCUUGUGCUGAUUUCACUUGAGAUCAAGUGUCAUUUCGUUCUGGACCUAUUAUUCGUCGUACAUGUAAUAACAACCAAAGAUAAUAUUGGGCUGCAACUAUGAAGGUGCACAAAUGUAGGCAUAAUAUGGAAAUACUGUGAUUCUCAAUGUCUGGUGGCAAAUCUUUUGAUCUAUGAGAGUAAAAAAUAUUGGAAUGUGGCAUGAGGUUGCAGUCAUGCACAAGAAGAUGCCCAUACAGUUGGCGGAGAUGCUAUCAAUAGGCAAGAAGAGGACAGCAAAAAUCUCUGGCUCAUGAGACUCAACUUGAUAUGUUUGGCAGAAGUAAUUCCCUAAGUGUCUUCUUCGGCAAAAAAUGGGAUUGAUUUAGUCAGUUUGAUUCAGCCCUCUGCCUUCUAACUUGGGAAUGAAAGCUACACUAUGAAAGCCAAACUGUUCAGGCUUUCAACUGACUCAAGCAACCUAUGUAUUUUUUAUUGCCUAGAUGGAACUAGCAUGGUUCCAUUUGGAUCAAAAUCAUAUCAAAUUAGGCAGUCCAUUGGGGUCUAGUCUAUAUAAUGUUCUUGUUGUUAAAUGCCCUUUACAGAUUUACUGAGUUUUGUUCUGCUUAUUAAUGAUGUGAUUAUGCAAUUUUUACUAGAAUGAUGUGCUUAUCAUGAUUUGUGACCCUAUAAUUACAGAAUUAAGAAUGCCUCAUGAUCUUCUAUAAUUACUAGAUACUAAAGCUCUGAAUGCAGUUAAUUUAUAGAAAAAAAUCUCGUAUGGUAGUUAGCUUUAGUUUCUUUCUGUUAAGAUUUGCUUAAAUUAAACAAUUUGAUCUCCAAAAUAGUCUGAUAUCAAGAUCUUUGGAAGCCUGUUGAUCAGCAGUUAGUAUUUUUUGCCAUUUUCAAUUCCAAUUACAAGAUGCUUGAUUCAUGGUCAACAUGUUUAUAAAUCUGUGAAGGAAUAUGGAAAGUACCAUAUUAUAGAAUCUAUAGAUCUAAACUUCUAUGAAAUAGAAAAAGUAAUGACAUAUUUAAAAAUAAAAAAAUAAAAAAAGUAAUUUGGGUGGUUUUGUCCUUGAACUGCCGACAGUUGGGACUGUGGUUGAUCUUGUGGUGGAAGCCUAUUCAUAUCCUGGUCGUCCUAUCGAAAGUUUUUUUUGCAGGUUUGCUUCCAUACUAUAAAAUAUUUAUUUUAUGUUUCUGACUUGGUUGACAAAAUGGAGUUCUGGAAUGUGCAAAAUCAUCUCAUUUCAACACUGCCUUUAUGCAGGUGUAUCGUUGUUUGCUGCCUUUGGAUUCCUUCUCUAUGGUGGGAGGUGAGUACUGAAUCCUUCAUUCUCCCUAUUGGUUUUUGUAACAUGUUGACGUUUGGAACAUGUCUGUGUGAUCACAUACACCUAGGCACUGCAUCAGAUAUACCAUUCUACAUCAAUGAUUUUUGGAUGCUGAAAAUGUUUGUUCUAUCUAUGAACAUAGUUCUACACUUCUACACAAAGGUGCAGCAGAACAUCCUUGAAUGCACACUGCCGCACACGUUUAUAGGUGCUAACGAAAAUGAAUUGUUUGCUUGCACAUGGCUGUAUUUGUCUUAACAUAUGUUUGUUAAAACAUAAUGCCAGGCUCUUCCUUAUGUUAGAAAGGUUUCCUGUGGAAUCCAAGGGAAGGCGCAAAAAGCUACAAGAGGUAUGUCAGGGAACAGUAUGAUCAGCUUUUACUAUAAAUUUCUUGAAGCUGUACUAUAUAUUGGAAUAGGUUUGCACAAGGUUUGCACAUCUAUCAUCCAUGACUCAAGCAGCUGAAGAAUGAACAGUAAUUCCAUCUACUCAUAUAAGACCAACACACUAAAUUUUGAUUUUUGUUAUAAAGAGCUUAACUAAUAGAUAUUCUUAUGAUGCCUAACAAGAUGAACUCCUUUUCCCUUGUGAUUUUGAGAUUAUAUUCCCGCACCUAGGUUCUGAAUUCAGGUUCCAAGCUCAUGAAUCAAGAAAAGAAAAAAGGGAAAUUUAUCAAAGAGCCUCCAAGAGAUGAACUAUUUAAAGUUUUACCCAUUUCUACUGAUAUAUUUUCAAAGUUCCUAUCAAGGACAUUAACCUUGAAUUGUAAUUGUUGAGAUUUUAGGGGCGGUUUGAUAAAUGGGGAGAAUGUUAAAUAGUUGACAUAUUAGGUGCAUUUUGAUAAAUUUCCUAAAAAACAAUAAUCCCUAGCAAUCUUAGAUAAAUUUAUACUGGAAUCUGGCCGCCAAAAAAUACGUAACCCUUUUAAUGUUGGUGUCUUGUAUAAAAUGUAAACUGUGCUUGGAUAAUGUCUGGUUACGUAUUUACAGUUCACUUGAUUUACAAAGUGAACAGUGUUGAGAGAAUUGGUUGGUAGUUGAGACAUGGGAUUUGUUGGAGGACUGGAGCAACCUAGUUCGAGUAUAGCUUUCUGUGACCUUGAGACAAUGCCCUCUAAAUGCAGAAAGCUUAAUUCUGGGUGCAAUGAAGAGAUUCUAGGGGACUGGUAAGAUGGGACGGGCAGUAGGGAUGAAUUGGGGGAUGAUAUUCCUUGUGAAUGUGUGAUUUACUUCUAGAAUGUCGCUGCUCUCUGAUGAUGUUACAUGAGAGGCAUUUCUUAGUCUCGCAUGUUUCAGAGGGUAACUUGCUUUAAUGUUGAUGGGUUUUUAUUGAUGAAUGAUUCUAUAGGACCUCUCAAUGUGUUUAUAAGAUGACUCCAUAUCAUUUUAUGGAAGCUGAUAAGGUAAUAAGUUUGAUGAGCGAUUGGGUCUUUUGGCUAAUGGAGUGUGUAUGAAGUCCUAGAUUUCCUAAAUUGCAAUUUAUUUUGCUAAAAAUCUCUAUAAAAAGUUAAGGGAAAAGGGGAAAAUGCACUGUUAAGCUAACAUGUCACUCAGGCUAUAUGGAGUUUUCUUCCCCUAAAUUAAGAAAGAAAAAAAAAAAGGAAAGAUAGGAAAGAAGAAGAAGCUAUUUGAAAGUCUUAAGUAACUUUGUGAUAAAUGAGAACCAAAAUGAAGAGCCAGUGAAUAAGAUAGAGAUCAAUAGCAUGAGGAUGAUAAUUACCAUAUAGGAUUCAAGAUGAACAGGUCUGUUGAUGAACUCGUGCAAAUUCAAUUGUCACCAACACAUGCCGUGUGUAGUCAACUAACUGGGAUUUAAACAAGUCCCCCAACUAGCUACUGGUAUCCUGUAGUUUUCUAGAAAGUGAUUCCGCUUGCCACUCAAUGCUUAAAUUUAAGGUCCAUGUUUGUUGAUUCUCUUCUGAUUAGUGAGGUCAGCACUUAGAUUUGUCCUCAAAUUUCAAUGUGACACGCGCACCACCUUUCCUACAGCAUUUUAUACAUGCUCUGACAGAAUCAGAUGUCAACUAGCUUAUCUGUGGGUUUCCUGAAUUCCAAUAUGGAAUCAGAAAUUUUUAUUUAAUCUCUUGAAAAGCAUACUGAAUUAUCUGGGGUCGAACUUAAAUGUGUUUCUUUUGAUUUUCUUACGCAGGUUGGCUAUGUGACUACCAUAUGUUUCACUUGCUUUUUAGUGAGAUGUGUGAUGGUGAGUUGUCUUUUUCUUCUUCCUUUUUCUAGGUGCCAUCCGUUACUCCAUUAAAUCUUUCCAUCCGUUACUCCAUUAAAUCUUUCUCAGUUCUUGCGGUUUCCAGUAUCGUUCAUCUAAUCUUGGCUUCUUGUUUGCCUUGAUAGAUGUAAUUUUUAUAUGAAAUAGCCUAUUUUUUGGACUAGUACCCCCAUGUGGGUGGUAUCUACUCCCCCCUUUGUAUCUUCUCUCUUCUUUUUAAUAUAGAACAGUUAACUGUUUUAAAAAAUAAAAAACACCAUAUGUUUCACUUGCUUCUUAGUGAGGUGUGGUGGUGAGUUGUCUUUUUGUUCUUCUUUUUUUUGGGUUCCAUUCGUUACUCCAUUAAAUAUCAUGUUAAGUUUUUAAAUCUUUCUGAGUUCUUGUGGUUUUCAUUGUUAUUAAUCUAAUCUUGGCUUCUUGUUUGCCUUGAUAGAUGUAACUUUUAUAUGAAAUAGCCUAUUAUUUGGACUGGUACCCCCGUGUGGGUGGUGUCUACUCCCCCCCCACCCCUUGUAUCUUCCUUCUUCUUUUUAGUAUAGAACAGUUUAACAGUUUCAAAAAAAAAACUUUUCUAAGAAAUGUUAUCUCUAGCUAUGUAGUGUAAUAUCUGAUUUUUGCUAAUUGGUAUUUUGAUCUGUUUGAGCUCUGCUUGAUUCCCAACUAUGUUCGUGUGUGCUAUAAGAGGACUGAAUCACAUCACUAAUUCAUAUUUUUCAAUUGGUUUGGAAAUAAAUAAAGGAGAAGGAAACAAUGGAUAGACCUGCCCUUUGUUUUCUUUGUGCAGCUUUUUAUUUUUAAGUGUUACAAUAGCAGCAUCUCAUUAUGACUACAAUGCACUGAAUCAUUGUAAUGCUAUUUAACAUGUGACAGAUGUUCUUUUGUGCCUUCGACAAAGCUGCAAAUCUUGAUGUUCUCAACCAUCCAGUUCUGAACUUCUUAUACUACGUGGUAUUUCCCACCACUUUCUCUGCUGAAUUUUAGUUGAAUUUUGAUUUCUUCACAUAGUCAUGGCUGAAAUGUAUUUUUAAUCUCCCACCAAAUUUUUCUGGGGUUCUUAAAAACUGGACCAAAAAUCACCUAAAAUUGGGGAAACAUAAGAUUUUUUUUCCUUUCUCAAUCCAUUCUUUCAAAGUGAUCUAAAAUUCUGGUUUUCAACUAUUUUUAUGGUCCCUUGUUCAACUUCUUUCUUGGAUUAGACCAACUCUUUGCCUUUGGAUUAAAUUUCAAUCUGAGAUUUGAGGGUUUUUUUUUUUUUAGUUGGUGGAAAUUAUACCAUCAGUUCUCGUUCUUUUCAUCCUGAGGAAGCUACCUCCAAAGCGUGGGAUCACACAAUACCAGCCAAUCCGUUAAAAAGGGGUGAAAUGAGAGGCUUAUUCAGGUAUCAUAUGACCUCCUAAUUGGAGAGUUGGAUCACUGCUCCAACCAACAAAACGAGAGUCUAGAGAGACCAAUUGGAUGGUAUGGUUCCUGUAAUUUCUCAUGGUGGUGAGGGGUUGGAUUUUUGUGUAUCUGUAAUUACUUGUAGCGUUGUGAAUGUCGAAUUGUGGUGGACUUGAAAGCAAAUAUUUGUGUUUCUUGGCUUCGGAAAUCUGUUGUAAUCUUUGGAGAAUCGAGGCAUGGUUUCCUGAUGUGUAGAGAGAGAAUUGAGGUGAAAUUUGUAAGUUGCCAUUUGUAGUUAUGGGAAAUUUAUGUAAAUGGCCCUGGUCUUUGAAGAGGGGUUUGGGGAUCUCUUAAAAGGGAAGAACAACUGCAGUGUGAGUAAUUGCAGACACAGGAUUUUUAAUUUGAGCCAUCAUUUGGUGGAGUAUUUUAAUGAUCUUUUUUAGAUCGUCUUUGGUAUUGUUAUUUCUGAAUCAUCUAGUAACUACGACCUCGCAAAUGUCAGUAUUUUAAAGUUCAAACUCCUCGCCAGGAGCUGAGCCCAGAGCUCCAGUCCUACGGGGAAGUACUAAUUGGGCUGGCAAUUUUUAGAAAGUGUAGAAAAAGGGAAGACUCGGGCGAUUCUGACGUUUUUGGCCUGCAAUUGCCUAGCGCCUGAUCCGUCCUACCUGGAGGCCCGAGUCUGAGUCAGACUGGCAAUUUUUUUGGACAUUUGAAAAUCUACAGAAAAUGUUGUGCAUUACUUUGCUAGGUCCCGGUAAAUCUAUAUGAUGUGUAUUUCUGUCCAGUAAACUAUUCUUCUGUUUUUGCAGUUCUCUGUAUCAGUUCUAGUUGUAAAGCUUAAAAAUAAGUAAUGAUAUCUUUUGUGGGGCAGCAGGACUCUUUGAGAUUAUACAUGAAUGAAAGCAUGUUUACAACAAAUGCGAUGCGCCGAAUUUCAAGUAAUAAUGCUAGGCACGAACAAUUCCAAGAACAAUUCUGAAGUUGACACAAUUUGAUGGGAAGUUAAACGGGUAGUCGGCUUGCAGGAAAAAGAGAAUAAAUGAUAACACGAUUAUCCCAAAGCAAGUCAAGCAACAAAAUCGUACCUCAAAAAAUGAGACUAAAUGAUAUACAGGUAUUCCUAAGCAAGUCGAGCAAUAAAAUCGUACCUGAAGAAUCAUCUCUGCUCGGGCUUGUGCGUGUGGGCGUGUGUGUUUGAGAGAAAGAAGAAGAUGGUGGUGUAUGAUUCCUUGAUUUCUCAUCAGCUACCAGUCGUUCUCUAUGGAGAGAGAGAGAUGUAUCAUUCUGAUAUUUCUCAUUGAACAACCGAUCAAGAGAGGAGGUUUUGUUUAUGCACCUUUGCCUAAUUUCUCAUCGACUACCAGUAGAGAGAGAGACAGAGAGAGAGAGAGAGAGAGAGAGAGAGAGAGAGAGAG
rnacentral:lncRNA from 1 species